GCAAGGUAGCUCACACCUGUAAUUCCAGUGUUUUAGGAAGUCGAGACAAGAGGAUCACUUGAGGUCAGGAGUUCAAAACCAACCUGGACAACAUAGCACGAACCCGUCUCUACAAAAAAAGUUUACAAAAUUAGCUGGGCAUGGUGCCACACACCUGUAGUCACGGCUACUUGGGAGGCUAAAGUGGGAAGCCUGUUUGAGCCUGGGAGUUCGCGACUGCAGUGAACUGUGAACAUGCCACUGUACUGCAGCCUGGGGUGACAGAGCAAGACCCUAACAGGAAAAAAAAAAAAAAAAAAAACAGGCAAAAUAUUUAAACAGACUUGUCCAAAGAUCUAUAGAUGGUAAAUAGGCUCAUGAAAAUAUGCCCAACAUCUUUAGCCAUCAGGAAAAUGCAAAUUAAAACCAAAAAGAAAGAAAUGUCACCACACAUCUCACAGAAUGGCUAAGUCAGGUCAUACCAGUGUUUUUGAGAAUGCAGGGCCAGUGGAACUCACACACAAAGCUGGUGAGGAUGUAAAACUGAACCAGCAUUUGAAAUAAGUUUGGCAGAUGCUUAAAAUGUUAAAUAUGCAUCUACCACAUGAUUCAGGGAUUUUCCUCUUAGGUAUUUACCAACAAAAAUUAAAGCAUAUGUAGACACAAAGACAGUAGUUUCAUCUGUAACAAAGAGAAACUCGCAAGUCAAUCAACAAUUGAAUAAACUAAUUGUGGUAUAUCCACACAAUGGAAUAUCACUCAGCAAUAAAAAGGAACGAACUGUUGAUACACACAGCAAACUGGGUGAAUCUCAAAAUAAUUUUCUUGAGUGAAGAAAAAUCCAGACCAGAAUCCAUAGUACACGAGUCCAUCUGCAUAAAAUUCUAGAAAAUUGAUUUCCUAGAAUCAAACUAAUUGAUAGUGACAGAAAGCAGAGCAAUAGUUGCCAAGGGACAUGGGGAAUGAAUCACAUAGGAGCUCAAGGAAAUUUUUGAUGGGUGAAAGAAAUGUUCAUUAUCUUGAAAAUGGUAGUGGCUUCACAGGUAUAUACAUAUGUCAAAACUCUUCAAAUUGUACACUUAAAAAAUAUGUGCAGCUUGUUAUACAGCAAUUAUACCUCAAAACUGUAUUUUUUUAAAAAAACUGUUAAAACCCUAAUGAUGCAAAUUAAAACAACCAGGUAUCACUACUCACCUACUGGAUGGCUUUCAAAAACACAGAAUGUUUUGUAUGGUAAAGAUACCAGCAACUGGAAUUCUCUUCAUUGCUGGUGGAAAUGCAAAAUGGUACAACCACUGCGGAAAAUAAUUUGGUAAUUUCUAAUAAAGUUAAACAUACGCUUACUACAUGAUCCAGCAAUCCCUCUUCUAGGUAUUUACCCAAGAGAAAUGAAAACAUAAGUCCACACAAAGGCCUUACAUGAACAUUCAUAAUGGCCAGAAAUUGAAAACUCAAAGGCCUAUGAACUUGUGAAUACAAACUGUGGUACAAUCCAUCUCUAAAAUAGGAAACAGUACAAACCUCAAAAGAUCCUUGUAAGAACGGAAAGAGAAAACACGAAAAAAAGCACUUAGAUAUAAAGCAUGAUAGAUGGUAUCACAUUAAUCACUGCUUACUCAAGGAAGCAAAAGCUGUAAUAGAGAAAUACAAAUCAUAUAGUAUGUAGCCUUCUGUGUCUGACAUGUUUCACUUAGAUUAAUGCUUUUGAGAUUCACUCAUGUUGUCUCCAUAGAUCAUUCUUUUUUAUUGUUGAAUGUUAGUUUAUUUUAUGUAUGUACAUUACACUUUAAUAAAACUGAAAUUUAAAAAUAUAUAUUAUGUAGCAAAAUAUAGGAAAUUUUCAGCCAACUUUAAAAGAUGUCACUCUAACCUCAUAACAUAUUCUGAAUUCUGCUGUGGGGAAGGAAAAGAGCACAGAACUUGGAGUCAGAGGUCUAAAUUUUAAAUCUAGGCUUUACCAUUUAUCAGCUCUCAGGACCCUAGGCACCUUAACUUGCCUGUAAAACAAAGCAAACAAUACAAACCUCAAAAGAUGUUUGUGAGAAGAAAGAAAAAAAACUUUGUAACUUUCAGACGUCACAGAGUAUCUACAUUAAUCAGUGCUUACUCAAGGAAGCAAAAGUUGUGAGAGUAGAAAAAUAGUCACAAACGCACUGAUAAUUUAUAAAACAUCCUGUCUCUGUCUCUCGCUGUGUGACUCUGGACAAGUCAUUUAACCUCUCUGGGCUUCAGUUUUUUCCAUCUGCAAAGUGCAGCUUAUUAGUAGUACAUACUGCAUACUGGGAGAAUUAAGUAAAUGUGUGUAAGGCACUUGAAAUAGUGCAUGGAGCAUGGCAAGUGCUUUAAAAGUUUUAGGUCUUACUACAAAAAAACUAUUAUCAUCAUCCUACCAGACCCAAUACUGGCCACCAUCCUGCCCAAACAAGCUGUAGCAGUACAAGUGAUUAAUAAUCUAGAUCACUGGAUUCUCAAACUUUUAGUGAGCAAUGGAAUAAUCUGAAGAACUUUUCUAAAAAUAAACUUCUUAUUUUAAAAGAGUUUUAGAUUUACAUAAUUACUGCAAAGAUAGUCCACAGAGUUCCCAUGUACUCUGGACCCAGUUAUCCCUAUUAACAACUUAUGUUAGUAUGGUACAUUUGUCAUAUUCAAUCAACCAACACUGACACAUAACAAUUUCCACACUUCAUUCAGAUUUCCUUAGUAUUCUCCUAAUGUCCUUUUUCUGUUCCAGGGUCCCAUCCAGAAUACCACAUAUACAUUGUAUAGCCAUAUCCCAGAGCGUUUUCAAACCACAGAUUACAGGCUCUAGCCCUAGAUAUUCUAACAACAACCGGUAUGAGGUGGGGCCCUAAAAUUUACAUUCUCAAGGAUUGCUGAUGAGGCCAAUCUGAAAAUACACUAAGAGUAACAUUGGUCUACACUUUUAGACUCCAAAACUGUUGUUCGAUACAGCAGUCACUAGUCAAAUGUGCCUAAUGCAAAUUGAGAAAUGCUCUAAGUGUAAAACACACUUGAUAUUUCAAAAAACCUGGUCCAAUGUAAAGAACAUAAAAUAUCUCAUUAAUAAUUUUCCUAUUACAUGUUAAAAUGAUAUUGUGAAUAUACUAAGUAAAAUAUAUUCAUUUAUUUCACUUUUUUUCCACGUGCUUACUUUUUAUAAUGUGAAUACUAGAAACUUUAAGCACAAGUAAUUUAUAUAGGCAUUACAUUUCUAUUGGACAGCAGUGGUCUGUGGUCUGGCAGAACAGCAUCCAUAUGACCAAGUGGAUAUUAGAAGUGCAGGUGAUUCCUAUGCACGUUAAAAUUUGAGAAGCACUAGAUUAUCAACAGGGGAAGGAGGCUUAGAGACUACACCAUUUGGCAGUUCAGUUCAAUUAAAGAGCUAAUCAAUUACAAAACGAAACUGCAGAAUAUUCAUUAAGUCCAUGAAGUCAAUGAAAGUAAUAGGGAAAUGGCUGAAUCACAGCAAAGCCAUAUACCAAUGAGCCGGGGCCAGCUAACUGAAGAAAAAAAAAAAAAACCACAAGGAUAGUGGCCCAAUAGGUUCCUCAAAAGAGGUAAUCUGAAAAGCCCGAUUUGAAGUACAGUGAUGCUAUGUCGUACUACGACACCUUUCACAUCUGAUUCAUACUACAAAAUAGUGCAUAUUUGCAAUUCUAGCCAAAAUUGUUAAAUACAGGACAAAAGUUUAAUUUCACUUUUCUCUCCCAUGAUUUAUUGUAAAACUGUGAUGCCCAUUUUCUCAGGUAAGUAAAAUAUUAGUACUACUGUUUAAUGGUUAAACAGAUCACCACUAUUUAGUUUUUACUCCAUUUAAAAAUUUUAAUCACCCGUAUUAUUUUCAGUAAUAUCACUUACGUAGAGUACUUAAAAAUUUGUAAAGUUCACUUUCUAUCAGCCUACUAAAAAACCACUGAGCAGAUUCUUUCUAAUUAAAGAAAAGUCAAAUGAUUAACUACAAGUAACAUGCUGUUUUUCUACAGCACUUAAUCUAUUUUCAUUUGCACCUCGAAACAACUGGUAUUAGCAAAUAUAAAACCGAAAGAGAUGCAAUGUAUUGAUAAUUAUAUAUGAACAACUAAUAUAUAUAUAACUAACUAUACAGACGGCAUUAUCUUAACAAUCAAUGAGUCAUCAGUCUUCUCCAGCUUGAUGAAGUACGAACAGAAAUCUAUCAACAAAUAUUGGCGCAUAAAUAUACAUACACACAUUAUAUUACACUUCUGGGGUUUCUUUUUCCCCCACAGAGAAACACUUUUAGAACAGUGGAGCCGCAUGCAACCAGGGGUCGCACAUAUGUGCGCAGACGGUCUGGCUCGUCAGGUGGCAUGGGUGGGGGUCACGCUUUCACUGCCUGCUUUGGGCUCUCAAAACCCAGCUCUGAAACGUUUCCAAGGCAAAAUAAAAAUAGCCAAAAUGCCUAUUCAGACCAGAGGAGGUAGAGGAAGAUGACCGAUUCUGUAAAACACCCUCCUACAGAUAAAGAAAAGGCGAUAUGGGCAAGUACACACACAUCUAGGCCAUCGUUCCCGACUUUUAAGUAUGAAAGAGGCGUGGCUAGGGGCUAGAUACUUAUUUUUAACACUUCCAUUGAAACACCCGGAGUCUCCCAAGGUCUAACCUCUAGAAGUCGGGUGGCAGAACCUGAAUCAGAACCCGAGUGAGCCUUCCUUCCUCCACCACCUCCCUUUAGGAACGCAUGCCUAAAUAGUCGAUAAAAUCUACUUCUCAAUGUCAUGAUUAACCCAAAAGCCAGCCACAACCAAUCGUGUUAUUAGAGUGCUAAAAGCCUCUAUCCACAACAAACACUCCACUUGGGAUGACAUUAAAACUUUCGAUAAAGGUGUACUUUCAACGUCGUGCUUUAGCCUUUGAAAAUACAUUUACAAAACUGCAGCUGCAGUCAAAAGGAAAACAUCACACGCCUCGAAAGCUGAAGGGCGUGCCUUUUUCUCUAACGAAGACCGUGUGGCCAUUUCUUCUCAAAGGGUCUGCAGUCACUUAAGAUAGCAACGCGUAAAGGACAGCCGUUCUGAGAAGACAACCAGCUCCCCUGAGAUGGGAGGCGGGCUGCACGCUGGUAAAGAGGAUUUUUCAAUUCAAGGACUUUGAGGAGAUUCCGCCCAGAUAAGCUGGAGGGGAGCGAAUGCACGUCCAUCCAGCAGGGGCAGGGCACCGGGAAAGACCGCAAAGAAGAAAGUGUCCGGUUUAAGGACCCGCGCCCUGCACCUCACCGGGAGCCCGGCGGCCUCGCAGCAGGCGGCUCCCUUCUUAGUCCGCCCCGCGGCUGCGGGUCGACGACGCGAGCCCGAAGAGCGUUCACACGGCUACGGCCGCGGCCGGCCCGUCCCCGCAGGCUGGCCUCUGAGGGAGGCUACCAGAAAAUAUACUCUUUAGUACCUGUUUGUGCACUUUAGUGAGCUGUUCAAGAUUAUUUUCAAGAAAGGAGAUUUUUUGCUUCUGAGCAGCGCUGCCUCCGGUGUCAUCAGAAUCAAUCUCAGCACUCUGAGAAAAGAAGGUAAGUAUUACAAAAAAAUUAAAAAAAACUAAGCUUAACUAUACAAAAAUUGACGUGACUGUAAAGUUAUUUCACUUUGAAUACAAAUAAUUACCUAGAAGUAAGCACCAUUUAUGCAAACGCCUACCUCGGCAUAGUUACAUUACCUUUUUAACUCUUGUAGCCAGGUCCUGAACAAAGAGUUUGCGCAGGUUGUGUAAAGUCUGAAGUUCUUUUGCCUUGGAUUAAGAACAGCGAUAUUUUUGGAGCUCAGACUUUAAAUUUAGAAUAAUCAUGGUAGAAAAAACCCACAAAAUAUUUCCCAAUCCUGUUUAUUUUCAUGUUUUUCUUACCACUGUCUCUUCCAAACCCUUCAAGUCUUGUCUUGCUUGUUCUCGUCUAUCUUGCAUAACCCUAACAGUAGAAGAACAAACAUAUAUUUUCAAAUUUUAUUCUGUAUAUUGUACUUAGCAUGAGAGUUGAAUAAAAUAUUUUGUGUCUGAAAGGAUAAAUUCUUAAAUUUAAAUAAAUACAAGAUGCCUAUUUUAAACAAUUUACCUGUGCUGUCUUUCAAAAAAAAAAUUUUUUUUUUUUUGACACAGAGUUUCUGUCCCAAACACUGCUCACUGCAACCUCAACCUCCUGGGCUCAAGUGAUCCUCCUCACCUCGUCUCCCAAAUAGCUGGGACUACAGGCAUGUACAAUCAGCCCUGUCUAAAAAAAUUUUUGUAGAGACGGGGUCUCACUAUAUUGCCUAGGCUGAUUCUCAAACACUGGGCUCAACUGAUUCUCCUGCCCUGGCCUCCCAAAGUGCUGAGAUUAUGGGUGUGAGCCACUGCAGCUUUGCAAUUUCAAAAAAUUUUCAUAUGCCUUCUAAACAACAGUCUAUUGUUAUACAUUCCAUAUAUAGCAAUGGAAGAGAUGAAAUAAAAUGUGGCAGAAUUCAAAGAAUAAGGAAUAGUUCUAUAAUUUAUAUUUUAAAAUAUGCCACAUGUAUUAUACUGCUAUUUAUCCAAAAUGAUACUGAUUAAUUAUAGAUUAUAAACUGUCAAAGACUAAAAUAUUUUACAUUACAAGUAUUCUAAACAAAAUUACAGCUGCAAGUUAGCAGAAUCUUCAUAUAAUCCACUCUGAACUGGUCCUGAUGUUCUAACUAUCCUAACAAUAUCAGUUGAUUUGCAAAUUGUCUCACAAACUCAAGGUAUGUGAAAAAUUAUAAUCAUGCACUUUCUACCUGCUAAGAUUCUAGAAAACUGAGUUUUGAGAAAAUGAGAAAAGGUAAACCAUGAAAACCUCUGUUCAAAAUGGCAAGGCUAAACACCACAAUGCUCUUUUAUGCAAGAGAAAAUUUAACAAAAACUCAGUUUUUGUGUUAGAUCUUAAAAUCUUCGAAGUUACUUAAUAUAUUGUUUUAGGUUCAUUUUUAUGCUGGAUCCUGAAGUAAUAUGGAGAUAAAGAAACAGCAAGCAGAUUAAUAAAGAGAAACCUUAAUCUUAACCACAAUGAAAUAUAAGACCUUGCUUUCACUCAAAUGCAAGUAUAUAUUCCAAGUAUUUAGAUAUAAAUCAAACCAACUCAGUGGAUUUAAGAAAAAAUCCUUUAGCCCAUACAAAGUAAAAUAUGUAUCCACUGGCUAUAUCCAAAGGUAAUGCCUAUAAUCCUCUAAUUUAGCUUUUAUUUUUAAACUUUAAUUAAAAACAAUUACUCACGUAAGUUCAUGUAGUUUUCUGCUCUUUUCCUGAUCUGUGGCUUUCAACUUCUCAUGUUCUACUCUUAGACGUUCCUGCUCUAACAUCAUUUUCUGGUUUUGGCUGACGAAAGAAAAAAAUAAUUAACACAGUAUCAAUAUCACAGUUUUCUCAAUGUCAUCAUUAAAAUUUCCAAACUUUUAAAUUCUAUAAUCUCAUCAAGGACUUUUCUGUUAUCCUAUACCCUAUGGAGGAAAAGAGGAAAGGGACCUGGCUACUUGUGGACAUACAAAAUUUUUCGUAUUUUGGUUUGAAAUCAUGAUUCUGUUCUCCUCUGUCUUUCAUCUUCCUGAAUCCUUAUGCCUACUUCCAUCAGGUAUUCAUAGUAAGACCUACGCCCCAAACCUCAUCAUUAUUUUGUUAUGUUAUUCUCUUCUUGGUUCCUACUCAAAUUGUUGCAAACUCUGACUUCCAUAAACUCUAUGUAUGUGCACAUGGUUAUGGAGGCAGGGAAAUUGCUUCUAGAUAAACUAAGAUGACAACUUAAAAAAAAAAAAACCUUU